rnacentral:piRNA from 1 species
CACUUUACCUGUGGAAUAAGAUUUGAAAGU